rnacentral:rRNA from 1 species
AUUGAACGCUGGCGGCAGGCCUAAAACAUGCAAGUCGAGCGAGCGGCGGACGGUUGAGUAAUGUAUGGGGACUGCCCGUUAGAGGGGGAUCACUACGGGAAACGGUAGCGAAUACCGCAUACUAUCGGAUAAUCCAUAUGGGAUUAGCUAGUGGGUGAGGUAAUGGCUCACCUAGGCGACGAUCCCUAGCUGGUCUGAGAGGAUGAUCAGCCACACUGGGACUGAGACACGGCCCAGACUCCUACGGAGGCAGCAGUGGGGAAUAUUGCACAAUGGGCGCAAGCCUGAGGCAGCCAUGCCGCGUGUAUGAAGAAGGCCCUAGGGUUGUAAAGUACUUUCAGUCGGGAGGCGUUACCGACAGAAGAAGCACCGGCUAACUCCGUGCCAGCCGCCGCGGUAAUUC